GCACCGGCCGGUUACUGAGGACAUUUUUAAAAUCCGCCAAAGUGACUUUUUCCGGAGAAACGGGCAAUUUCACCAGAUAAGGGGUCUCUUCUUCAUCGAUAUGGUAUAUCGCUGCCUAGCGAGACCAGUUCUCUGGAUAUCUUAUAAUGAUUCAGAAACAAAAAUCACAAAUAUCACAAGGUCAUCUCAACACUCUUGCUCCCUUUACUGGAUUUGACCCCAGACUCAAACAGAGUCAGAAGAGCAGGAGGAAGAAGCUAUUCACCCCAAUGAACUUUCCAAGGCCAUUUCAUGGGUACUUUUUUCCUAAACAGUCUAUGCAGAAGUCAAACUUGGCAUUUUACCCCCUCAGUGCUGGACGAUCAAGUAUUGAAGCCAAGCUGAGUGGAAAGAAAAAUAUUAACGUGGCAGAAAGAUCGGAUGGCCAAGUGACCCCAUUUCAAAUUUUGGACAGCAGGCGAUGCUUCGAAGCAAGCCGUAACAAGCGCAAGAGACACACAAAACACUCUCUCCUCUGCUAAACACCCAGCAACGCAAAAGCAAACAAACCAAAAAAAAAAACAACCUCUUGUCCAAACAUCAGUGAGUUUAUUUAGCGUUUUAUUAGCCAGAUCAGGUAGUCAUCAUCAGCAAUACCUCUUUAAAGAGUUCUUCUCAGCGAGCCUUCUAACUGCAAAAGUGAUUUUAGGGAGAAAUAUUCCAGGCACACAUAUUGAUCAAAGCCAGUCCCCACACACCCCUUUUUUCUUUUUCAUUUUGCUAAUAGCCUGUUUAAUGGGGUUUCUGCACCCUGUUUACUCUGAGUAGCUCAACUCCCUCCUUCGAAAGCUAUGUCCUUUCCCUCAAUUCAGCAGAGGUUAAAUACAGGCGAAUGAAUACGUUUCCACCACUGUGUAUACAUAUGAAGAAUCUUGAGUUGGAGGGACACCAGAGGCCAGUUAUUCCAUUCUCCAGCUAAGCGAUAGAAAUUCAGAAUCAAGGAAUCCCCCUUCACCUGGGAGAUCUUAUAGGUUCUUGUACUCUGUCAGUAUAUACAGCCUGUCAUUCCGGGUCUUGCAGUGUCCAAGGAUCACAACCAACCACGGGAUCCUACAUUUUGUCUCCUUUGUGCAGCAGGAGACGGGUGAUUAUCUGUCAUAAUCGCGUGAGGCAAGAGAAAACUGGAAGGAAGAGACCCAUCACCGAGUUGCAGUGGGCUUCCAAAGGAAAACUUCCAAGAAUUCUGCCUCUUUUUUUAAAAUCCCUGUUGCUUCUGAGCCAAAUACUGGGAAGAGCGGGGACAUAUUCUUAGCAGGGGAUUCAAACGAACAGGAGUGAGGAAGGCUUGGAAGCAGCAGCAUAGAUAGAAACUUUAGAUCCAACAGAGGACAUUCUUGUUAUUCCAACGAUCCCAGACUGACAAGUUCAUCUAAUUCAUUUUAUGGCUGGUUCAGACUCCAGGGACUGGCCCAGAUAUACCUCUUAAGCAGACUCUACUACCAAGAGAAGAGCGAAUGGGUUUGGACUCCUGACUCAAAC